rnacentral:rRNA from 1 species
AUUGAACGCUGGCGGCAGGCCUAACACAUGCAAGUCGAACGAGUGGCGGACGGGUGAGUAAUGUCUGGGAAACUGCCUGAUGGAGGGGGAUAACUACUGGAAACGGUAGCUAAUACCGCAUACCAUCAGAUGUGCCCAGAUGGGAUUCGCUUGUUGGUGGGGUAACGGCUCACCAAGGCGACGAUCCCUAGCUGGUCUGAGAGGAUGACCGGCCACACGGAAACUGGGACACGGUCCGGACUCCUACGGGAGGCAGCGGUGGGAAUUAUUGCACAAGGGGGGCAAGCCUGAUGCGGCCAGGCCGCGUGUAUGUAGAAGGCCUACGGGUUGUAAAGUACUUUCAGCGGGGAGGCGUUACCCGCAGGAGAAGCACCGGCUAACUCCGUGCCAGCAGCCGCGUAAUUC